CAAGGAUUCCCUAGUACGGCGAGUGAAGCGGGAUGAGCUCAAGCUUAAAAUCUCUGUCACAAAUUUAUUUUGUGCGGCGAAUUGUAGUCUAUAGAGGCGUGGUCAGUGUAGGCACUUGGGGUAAGUUCCUUGAAAGAGGACAGCAUGGAGGGUGAAACUCCCGUUCAUACUUGAGUGGCUUAUGCGUAUGACCCGUUUUCUUUGAGUCGCGUUGUUUGAGAAUGCAGCGCAAAGUAGGUGGUAAAUUCCAUCUAAAGCUAAAUAUUGGUGCGAGACCGAUAGCGAACAAGUACCGUGAGGGAAAGAUGAAAAGAACUUUGAAAAGAGAGUUAAAGAGUACCUGAAACUGCUGAAAGGGAACCGGAUCGCUUCUAGUGUCUAUAAUCUGUGACAUAUUUCAUUGGGGAGUGUGUGCGUGUGUAUACUGUGGCAGCGGUUAUUUUAACUGCGCUCGGUGUGUGUGCUGUAUGCGCUUACUGGUGCCCUGUGUUGCGGUGGGACGUCAAGGUCGGUUUGUAUACUGCGGGAAAUGGCUACUGAGGAGGUAGGGCUUACGCUUGCGUUUGUCUAUUAUAUCUUGGUGGUUGUGUCGUGGUUGAGACUGAGGUGUUCUACAACGUGCUUUUGAGUGGGUUUGUGUCUCCGUGUGCACCGUGUGCAGAUAGCUUGCUAUGUGUGUGUGGUUGUGUGUGGAUUGAUGUGGACUUUAACUUGUAGCCGUUCGGGACGUUGGCGAAAUAGAGCGAUUUGACCCGUCUUGAAACACGGACCAAGGAGUCUAACAUAUGUGCAAGUGUUAGGGUGUGGAAACCCCAGCGCGAAAUGAAAGUAAAGGAUAGUGAAAACUAUCUUAGGUAGGAAACGUUGCGGAUUUCGAUCUGUGGCGUGGCACUAUCGACCGAUCAUGAACCUUCGUGGUGAAAGAUUUGAGUUUGAGCACAUAUGUUGGUACCCGAAAGAUGGUGAACUAUGCCUGAGUAGGGUGAAGCCAGGGGAAACUCUGGUGGAAGCUCGUA
rnacentral:rRNA from 1 species